rnacentral:rRNA from 1 species
CCCAGUUCGGACUGGAGUCUGCAACCCGACUCCACGAAGUUGGAUUCGCUAGUAAUCGCGCAUCAGCCAUGGCGCGGUGAAUACGUUCCCGGGCCUUGUACACACCGCCCGUCAAGCCAUGGGAGCCGGGGGCGCCUGAAGUCCGGGACCGCGAGGACCGGCCUAGGGCGAAACUGGUGACUGGGGCUAAGUCGUAACAAGGUAAC